ensembl:snRNA U6 U6 spliceosomal RNA
GUGCUCACUUUGGCAGCACAUAUUCUAAAAUUAGAACGAUACAGAGAAGAUUAGCAUGGCCCCUGCGCAAAGAUAUCAUGCAAAUUCAUGAUACAUUCCAUUUUAUU